GGGGGUAGCUUGCUACCUGCCGGCGAGUGGCGAACGGGUGAGUAAUACAUCGGAACGUGCCCUGUAGUGGGGGAUAACUAGUCGAAAGACUGGCUAAUACCGCAUACGACCUGAGGGUGAAAGUGGGGGACCGCAAGGCCUCAUGCUAUAGGAGCGGCCGAUGUCUGAUUAGCUAGUUGGUGGGGUAAAGGCCCACCAAGGCGACGAUCAGUAGCUGGUCUGAGAGGACGAUCAGCCACACUGGGACUGAGACACGGCCCAGACUCCUACGGGAGGCAGCAGUGGG
rnacentral:rRNA from 1 species